rnacentral:rRNA from 1 species
UAGUCCUACGGGGGGCAGCAGUGAGGAAUAUUGGUCAAUGGGCGGAAGCCUGAACCAGCCAAGUCGCGUGAGGGAAUAAGGCCCUACGGGUCGUAAACCUCUUUUGCAGGGGAGCAAGGGCGGGGACGUGUCCCGGCCCGGAGAGUACCCGGAGAAAAAGCAUCGGCUAACUCCGUGCCAGCAGCCGCGGUAAUACGGAGGAUGCGAGCGUUAUCCGGAUUUAUUGGGUUUAAAGGGUGCGUAGGCGGGCUUUUAAGUCAGCGGUAAAAAAUCGAGGCUCAACCCCGUACGGUCG